GCCUCCAUAGCUCAGUGGUACGAGCACUGGUCUUGUAAACCAGGGGUCGAGAGUUCGAUCCUCUCUGGAGGCA